AUGCGUAUGUUGAGAUGGAUGUGUGGCCACACGAGGAAGGAUCAAGUCCGGAAUGAUGAUAUACGAGAUAGAGUUGGGGUAGCACCAAUUGAAGAGAAGCUUGUCCAACAUUGUUUGAGAUGGUUUGGGCAUAUUCAGCGCAAGCCUCCAGACGCUCCAGUGCAUAGCGGACGGCUAAAGCGGGCGGAGAAUGUCAGGAGAGGUCGGGGUAGACCGAAUUUGACAUGGGAGGAGUCUAUUAAGAGAGACCUGAAGGAUUGGAGUAUCACCAAAGAACUAGCUAUGGACAGGGGUGCGUGGAAGCUUGCUAUCUAUGUGCCAGAGCCAUGA
rnacentral:rRNA from 1 species